UGGAGCGGCCGAUGUCGGAUUAGCUAGUUGGUGGGGUAAGGGCCUACCAAGGCGACGAUCCGUAGCUGGUCUGAGAGGAUGAUCAGCCACACUGGGACUGAGACACGGCCCAGACUCCUACGGGAGGCAGCAGUGGGGAAUUUUGGACAAUGGGGGCAACCCUGAUCCAGCCAUUCCGCGUGAGUGAAGAAGGCCUUCGGGUUGUAAAGCUCUUUCGGCAGGAACGAAACGGCGGGCUCUAACAUAGCCUGUCAAUGACGGUACCUGAAGAAGAAGCACCGGCUAACUACGUGCCAGCAGCCGCGGUAAUACGUAGGGUGCGAGCGUUAAUCGGAAUUACUGGGCGUAAAGCGUGCGCAGGCGGUUUUGUAAGACAGCUGUGAAAUCCCCGGGCUUAACCUGGGAACUGCGGUUGUGACUGCAAGACUAGAGUGCGGCAGAGGGGGGUGGAAUUCCACGUGUAGCAGUGAAAUGCGUAGAGAUGUGGAGGAACACCGAUGGCGAAGGCAGCCCCCUGGGUUGACACUGACGCUCAUGCACGAAAGCGUGGGUAGCAAACAGGAUUAGAUACCCUGGUAGUCCACGCCCUAAACGAUGCCAACUAGGUGUUGGGGAAGGAGACUUCCUUAGUACCGUAGCUAACGCGUGAA
rnacentral:rRNA from 1 species